AGCUCUCUUAAAACCACUGGUUUUUUUCCACCCCCUGACAGAUCUGAAAUACCUUAAAAUCAGGUUGAUUUUACACUAUGUGGCAAAUGACUUUUGUUUUCUGCCAUCUUGUUGAAAUUUUUUUUUUCUCCUUCCAUUAUUUUCAUGGUUACCUUUGAAAUCUUUUAGGAAAACAAUUGUAAGAUUAAACAAUCACAUCAAUUUUAAAGCUGACUUUUUUUUUCUUGUUUUUCUCUUUUGUACACUUUUUAAGUAGACUCCUCUUAACAUAUUUUAACCCAUCUGUGGUUUGUUUUUGACAGCUUGCUCUCCCCCCACCUCCCCCACGUGUUCCUUGAAUGAGGUAGCAAAGAGGAUGUGAUUGGUUUUGAAAUAAUGAUUCCUUAGUUCUUCUUCUGACCAGUUCAGGUGCAGAUCUGUGAGUGGCGACUUGGAGGCUCCCGGGUCACAGUUUAUCUGGCUCUUUCGUUUCCAGUUGGAAAUAACUUUGUGUGCAUCUGUCAUUCUGAGCUGUCUUCUCUUCUAGAGAUUUACAGUAACAAUAGGGUUUUGCAAAUGCUCCAUAGUUGGGGAAAGACUAUGAAGUAUAAUCAUGUUAAAUUUACUAACAGUUCCUACGCCACGAUUAAAGGAUGCUUGGUUUCUAAGUGCUCCUCCCACUAAUUAGAGGGAAGAGGCCAUCCUGAGAAUACGAUUGUUAGCACGAGUUUGGAGACUGGGUGGUGGACAGCCACUUGGGAUGAGGUGGGGUGUCCAGGGGUUUGACAGUAUUAGUAAGGACUACAGGUUACAGAGACGGGGAGAGGAAGUAAUGGUGGUAUUCAGGAAAAUGUUACUUGAGGUAUUUUUUGAGGGUUUUGUAGUAGUUUUGGCAGCUGCUAUAGCAGCAGUUGAGCUUUUGGGAGUUUUAAGAAGGAACGGGUAGAGAGGGUAGGUUCUCACGACUGAAGAUGAACUAUUUCUCUCUAAAAGUCAAAGCCCUUUGAGAGUUUACAGACAAAUGUAAAUGUUUACAGUCUUGUGGUUUAGGGGCUACACUGGUAGCUUCUCGGUUGGUAUGAUAAAACACUCGGACAAAGAGCAAGUUGGGGAAGAAAGGGCUUUACUUUACUUUGGCUUAAAGGUUCUAAAGGGAUGGGGCUCCUCACGGUGGGGAACACAGUCAAGGCAGGGUAGCCAUAGGAGAAGGCCUCUGGCUCGUUACAUGUCUAUCACAUACAGGAAGCUGAAAGGGACAGAAAGGAGAGCCAUGCUGUAAACCCUCCAAGCCCGACCCUGUGAUGAACUUUCUCUUAGCAAGGCUCCACCCACCAAAUGAUCGCUUGCUAUUACUGGGGAUUCAGUAUUUAGCCACACUGGGGGCUGUUUCUCAUUCCCGCCACACUGGGGGCACCUACUUUAUAAGGAUUUAUUUUUCUUUAUGUGUGGAUGUGAUGUGAUGUGAUGUGAUGUGUGUGCUGUGAAGGCCCAGCAGCUCCUGUCAUUGUCAUCUUCAGGCUGGCUCAUCGUGUGUACCCGCCAUUCAGUAUGGGCCCAUUGCAGGUCAGGAUUGUCAUCAGAGAGUAAAUCUCAGUUACAGAGAACAGAAGUAGGACAGAGAGAAAAAGGGUGCAGGGAAAGGCUAGAGGGGAAUUUUCCUAUUCGACUUUCACUUGUAUUGCAUUUCCAGGGUUAGUCACAUGACACCUGCUGGCAAGGCAGGCUGCCAAACAGUCUUUUAUUUGGGUGGGAUACAAUUAAUAUUUUUUACUUGGGAAAAAAAAAAAAACCCUUUUCCUCUUACAGGGAAAGAGUUAUUAAAUAACUAUUAUGUUACAAAGGUGUAGCGCUGAAUAAUUUCCAAAGAUAGAUGGAAAGAAUGGAUGUUGGCCAAGUUCAUCGACCUUUUCAGCUUCCUGGUCUGAGACAACCAGUGGCAUUACCCCAGGAUAAUUCAGUCAUGUGUUCACUAAAAAUAACUCUUGUAGUAUUCCAGUUAUGGUAAUGGGACCCUAAUAUUAAGUGAUUGUUAGUAUUAAAUGAUCUGCCAUUUAUUUUCAUUAUAGGACCAGUGAAUGACUGGAAUGCUUGGAGUGUUUUUGUUGCGUUAAUAACUUUAUCCAGCGAGUUAUCGUCUCGAUCCGACUUUCUAUUCUGCUUAUUUAAAAGUCUGUGCAAGUAGCCUUGGUCUUUCAAGUCUUUUUUCUGACUUCCUCUCAUACUGAAUUCAGUGUCCUGUGAAUAUUGUCUGAAGAGAUGGGAGUCUUUGGUAGCAUGAGCUUGGUGUGACUGGUUGGCCUUCAAAACGGAGAUCAGUUUUCAAAGCCAUCUUUUUACCACCAUGGAAAUUCGGGGAAUCCUUUCCCUGCUGCCUUCUUUGGCACAACAGAUAAAACCACCCAUGCUGAGAUUUGUGGCAUCAUCAAUCUAUGGGGAGGCUUUUACUUGACAACUAUAAGCCACAAGAGCAAUGUCAGACUGUGUAAAGCUAGGGUUAUUUUGACUAUGUACUAAUUUAGUGUGCUAACCAUAGCCAGCUAAAGAAAGGCAGGGCGUCGAGUGUUCACGUUCGCUGCUCUCCUGUGCUGAGUGGGCCACACGAGCUUUGGGAACUUCAUCUUGAUUUGGGACUGAGUCUGUGGGUUCUACAUCCUGAACGUUCUUAGUGUUAGGAGGCCAGGGACUCAGCCUCUCAAACUUGAGCCUAUUCGAUGGACUGUGCGUAUGGGCGUUUCUCUCUUUGUGCCGGUUUCCUUUCUGCCUGUUACAAGGAUUGUGAACAUUCGUGUUGUAAUAAAAAUUGAACUAAACAAGUGCUAAUUAAAAUUGCAUGCAAGAGGCUCGGGGAGAUGAUGGCUUAUUCUGUAUGGUGACUAUUGCACAAGUCUGAGGACCCAAGUUCAAGCCUCCAGAACCCACAUUCAAAACCAGGUGUGGUGUGGGGUAUCUGUAAUCUCAGUGCUGAGGGAAGAGAGGGUUAUGAUGGCCUGCUGAGGCAGUCAGUGAGCAUCAGGGUCAAGGAGGGGCACCUGGUCUCAAAAAAAUAAGAUGGAGGAAUGAGAGAUGAGAUGAAAUGAAAUGAGAUGGUUCAAUGGUUAGGAGCACUGGCUGAUUUUUUCCAGAGGAUCCAAGUUCAAUUCCUAGCUCCCACAUACGUGGUGGAUCACAGUUUGUAAUUUCAGGUCCAGGGGGUUCCAGCAUCCUGUUCUGGCCUUCAUGAACACUGCGUGUACAUACAUGCAGGCAACGUCCAUCAAAUAAAAAUGAGUAAGUCUUAAAAAGAAAACAAAACACAACCUCUACUUCAGGGCAGUGAAAGUUU
rnacentral:lncRNA from 1 species